GGAAUUUUGCGCAAUGGGCUAACGCCUGACGCAGCAACGCCGCGUGGAGGAUGAAGGUCUUUGGAUUGUAAACUCCUGUCAGCAGGGAAAAAGCGACUCGGCUUAAUACGCCGGGGAGUUGAUUGUACCUGCAGAGGAAGCCCCGGCUAACUCUGUGCCAGCAGCCGCGGUAAUACAGAGGGGGCAAGCGUUAUUCGGAAUUAUUGGGCGUAAAGGGCGCGUAGGCGGUCUGACAAGUGGAAGGUGAAAUCCCUCGGCUUAACCGAGGAACUGCCUUCCGGACUGUUUGACUUGAGACCAGGAGAGGUGAGUGGAAUUCCCAGUGUAGCGGUGAAAUGCGUAGAUAUUGGGAGGAACACCAGUGGCGAAGGCGGCUCACUGGACUGGUACUGACGCUGAGGCGCGAAAGCGUGGGGAGCAAAC
rnacentral:rRNA from 1 species